GACGAACGCUGGCGGCGUGCCUAAUACAUGCAAGUAGAACGCUGAAGAGAGGAGCUUGCUCUUCUUGGAUGAGUUGCGAACGGGUGAGUAACGCGUAGGUAACCUGCCUUGUAGCGGGGGAUAACUAUUGGAAACGAUAGCUAAUACCGCAUAACAAUGGAUGACACAUGUCAUUUAUUUGAAAGGGGCAAUUGCUCCACUACAAGAUGGACCUGCGUUGUAUUAGCUAGUAGGUGAGGUAAUGGCUCACCUAGGCGACGAUACAUAGCCGACCUGAGAGGGUGAUCCGCCACACUGGGACUGAGACACGGCCCAGACUCCUACGGGAGGCAGCAGUAGGGAAUCUUCGGCAAUGGGGGCAACCCUGACCGAGCAACGCCGCGUGAGUGAAGAAGGUUUUCGGAUCGUAAAGCUCUGUUGUAAGUCAAGAACGGGUGUGAGAGUGGAAAGUUCACACUGUGACGGUAGCUUACCAGAAAGGGACGGCUAACUACGUG
rnacentral:rRNA from 1 species